GACGAACGCUGGCGGCGUGCCUAAUACAUGCAAGUUGAGCGCUGAAGGUUGGUACUUGUACCAACUGGAUGAGCAGCGAACGGGUGAGUAACGCGUGGGGAAUCUGCCUUUGAGCGGGGGACAACAUUUGGAAACGAAUGCUAAUACCGCAUAAAAACUUUAAACACAAGUUUUAAGUUUGAAAGAUGCAAUUGCAUCACUCAAAGAUGAUCCCGCGUUGUAUUAGCUAGUUGGUGAGGUAAAGGCUCACCAAGGGGAUGAUACAUAGCCGAACUGAGAGGGUGAGCGGGCACAUUGGGACGGAGACACGGCCCAAACUCCUACGGGAGGGAGCAGGAGGGAAUCUUCGGCAAUGGACGAAAGUCUGACCGAGGAACGCCGAGUGAGGGAAGAAGGUUGUCGGAUCGGAAAACUCUGUUGGUAGAGAAGAAAGUUGGUGAGAGUGGAAAGCUCAUCAAGUGACGGUAACUACCCAGAAAGCGACGGCUAACUACGUG
rnacentral:rRNA from 1 species